rnacentral:rRNA from 1 species
CAAUAGCGUAUAUUAAAGUUGUUGCAGUUAAAAAGCUCGUAGUUGGAUUUGUGGCGUACGGUGUGUUCCGGGCACUUGUUGUCUGAGUAACCUGCUGUUGCCAUCCUUGGGUGGAACCUGUGUGGCAUUAGGUUGUCGUGCAGGGGAUGCCCAUCAUUUACUGUGAAAAAAUUAGAGUGUUCAAAGCAGGCUUAUGCCGUUGAAUAUAUUAGCAUGGAAUAAUGAGAUAGGACUUUUUUGCUAUUUUGUUGGUUUGCGCAAAGAGGUAAUGAUUAAUAGGGACAGUUGGGGGUAUUCGUAUUCCAUUGUCAGAGGUGAAAUUCUUGGAUUUUUGGAAGACGAACUACUGCGAAAGCAUUUACCAAGGACGUUUUCAUUAA